rnacentral:rRNA from 1 species
CCUACGGGGGGCUGCAGUGGGGAAUAUUGCACAAUGGGCGCAAGCCUGAUGCAGCCAUGCCGCGUGUGUGAAGAAGGCCUUCGGGUUGUAAAGCACUUUCAGCGGGGAGGAAGGCGGUGAGGUUAAUAACCUCAUCGAUUGACGUUACCCGCAGAAGAAGCACCGGCUAACUCCGUGCCAGCAGCCGCGGUAAUACGGAGGGUGCAAGCGUUAAUCGGAAUUACUGGGCGUAAAGCGCACGCAGGCGGUCUGUCAAGUCGGAUGUGAAAUCCCCGGGCUCAACCUGGGAACUGCAUUCGAAACUGGCAGGCUAGAGUCUUGUAGGGGGGGGUAGAAUUCCAGGUGUAGCGGUGAAAUGCGUAGAGAUCUGGAGGAAUACCGGUGGCGAAGGCGGCCCCCUGGACAAAGACUGACGCUCAGGUGCGAAAGCGUGGGGAGCAAACAGGAUAGAUACCCGAGUAGUC